CGCUGGCGGCGUGCCUAAUACAUGCAAGUCGAGCGGAAUGAUGAAGAAGCUUGCUUCUUCUGAUUUUAGCGGCGGACGGGUGAGUAACACGUGGGCAACCUACCUUGUAGAUUGGGAUAACUCCGGGAAACCGGGGCUAAUACCGAAUAAUCCAUUUUGCUUCACGGCGAGAUGUUGAAAGACGGUUUCGGCUGUCACUACAAGAUGGGCCCGCGGCGCAUUAGCUAGUUGGUAGGGUAAUGGCCUACCAAGGCGACGAUGCGUAGCCGACCUGAGAGGGUGAUCGGCCACACUGGGACUGAGACACGGCCCAGACUCCUACGGGAGGCAGCAGUAGGGAAUCUUCCACAAUGGACGAAAGUCUGAUGGAGCAACGCCGCGUGAGUGAAGAAGGUUUUCGGAUCGUAAAACUCUGUUGUAAGGGAAGAACACGUACGAGAGUAACUGCUCGUACCUUGACGGUACCUUAUUAGAAAGCCACGGCUAACUACGUG
rnacentral:rRNA from 1 species